AGAGUUUGAUUCUGGCUCAGAACGAACGCUGGCGGCGCGUCUUAAGCAUGCAAGUCGAACGGCAAGAGGUAGCAAUACCUCCUAGAGUGGCGGACUGGUGAGUAACACGUGGGUGACAUACCCUUCAGAUGGGGAUAGCUAUUAGAAAUAGUAGAUAAUACCGAAUACGAGCACAGGGGUUAGAGAUCUGUGAGGAAAGGAGCUAAGGCUCCGCUGAAGGAAUGGCCUGCGGCCCAUUAGCUAGUUGGUGAGGUAACGGCCCACCAAGGCGACGAUUGGUAGCCGAUCUGAGAGGAUGACCGGCCACAUUGGGACUGAGACACGGCCCAAACUCCUACGGGAGGCAGCAGUGGGGAAUAUUGCACAAUGGGGGAAACCCUGAUGCAGCGACGCCGCGUGAGUGAUGAAGUAUUUCGGUAUGUAAAGCUCUAUCAGCACGGGAAGAAAAUGACCGGUUACCUGAGUAAGAAGCCCCGGCUAACUACGUGCCAGCCGCGGC
rnacentral:rRNA from 1 species